CACGUAGGGUGCGAGCGUUGUCCGGAAUUAUUGGGCGUAAAGAGCUCGUAGGCGGUGUGUCGCGUCGGCCGUGAAAACCUGCAGCUUAACUGUGGGCGUGCGGUCGAUACGGGCAUCACUGGAGUUCGGCAGGGGAGACUGGAAUUCCUGGUGUAGCGGUGAAAUGCGCAGAUAUCAGGAGGAACACCGGUGGCGAAGGCGGGUCUCUGGGCCGAUACUGACGCUGAGGAGCGAAGGCGUGGGGAGCGAACAGG
rnacentral:rRNA from 1 species